UGGCAGGAGCCAUCUUUAAGGUG
rnacentral:misc_RNA from 1 species